rnacentral:lncRNA from 1 species
AGCACUGGGCAGUGGUGGCGCAAGCCUUUAAUCCCAGUUUUGUCUUUGAGCAUAACCAUUAAAAAAUUGCAACUAAACUCUUCCCCCACCCUCCGAAUCACUAAUAACCACCAACCUUGACUCUCAGGGCCCUUGAAUUUAUAUAUCCUUUGAAAAGUUCCCAGAAUUCCAAAUGUCACACAAUCACAGGAAUUAUCUGCAGCUGGCAAAACCACAACUCUGCUAGAGCAGGAGGCAAAUCAUAGUCAGCUGCUGUGGGUAGUCUGCAGCAGCCCCACAUCCCUACACCUGGGAUUAAAACAAGGGCACAUUCCUUUAAUAUUUGUGUUUUUUUUUUCUCCCCAAAGAAACCCAAAUUCCAGAAUUCUUACUACAGAUGGCUCUUUAGACAGCAGAGGAACUUUGCAUUGAUGAUGGACAAAGCUUUAGUCAAGAAGAAUUUCUGGCCGGGCGGUGGUGGCGCACGUCUUUAAUCCCAGCACUCACAUCACAGAGUACGUGCCUGGUUGAGUGUACUGUAGGACUUCUGUAACAGUAAACCUUAGAUCUACACUAGGUGCUUUAUCCUUUGUUCAGUGACUCAAGAGAGUCAGCAAAAGCUGAAGAUGAUGGAGUUAAAAUAUAAACAAGCUGAAUUUGGAGCUAAAAUCGUGAAAUCAUUGGAACAUUAGGAAAAUUCUUAUAGUUCUUGAGUGUAUAUAUCAAAUGCUAUAUUUUUAUAAAAGUGUAUUUUGUGUG